rnacentral:rRNA from 1 species
GACGAACGCUGGCGGCGUGCCUAAUACAUGCAAGUAGAACGCUGAAGAGAGGAGCUUGCUCUUCUUGGAUGAGUUGCGAACGGGUGAGUAACGCGUAGGUAACCUGCCUGGUAGCGGGGGAUAACUAUUGGAAACGAUAGCUAAUACCGCAUAAAAUUGAUUAUUGCAUGAUAAUUAAUUGAAAGAUGCAAUUGCAUCACUACCAGAUGGACCUGCGUUGUAUUAGCUAGUUGGUGAGGUAACGGCUCACCAAGGCGACGAUACAUAGCCGACCUGAGAGGGUGAUCGGCCACACUGGGACUGAGACACGGCCCAGACUCCUACGGGAGGCAGCAGUAGGGAAUCUUCGGCAAUGGGGGGAACCCUGACCGAGCAACGCCGCGUGAGUGAAGAAGGUUUUCGGAUCGUAAAGCUCUGUUGUAAGAGAAGAACGGGUGUGAGAGUGGAAAGUUCACACUGUGACGGUAUCUUACCAGAAAGGGACGGCUAACUACGUGCCAGCAGCCGCGGUAAUACGUAGGUCCCGAGCGUUGUCCGGAUUUAUUGGGCGUAAAGCGAGCGCAGGCGGUUAGAUAAGUCUGAAGUUAAGGCUGUGGCUUAACCAUAGUAUGCUUUGGAAACUGUUUAACUUGAGUGCAGAAGGGGAGAGUGGAAUUCCAUGUGUAGCGGUGAAAUGCGUAGAUAUAUGGAGGAACACCGGUGGCGAAAGCGGCUCUCUGGUCUGUAACUGACGCUGAGGCUCGAAAGCGUGGGGAGCAAACAGGAUUAGAUACCCUGGUAGUCCACGCCGUAAACGAUGAGUGCUAGGUGUUAGGCCCUUUCCGGGGCUUAGUGCCGCAGCUAACGCAUUAAGCACUCCGCCUGGGGAGUACGACCGCAAGGUUGAAACUCAAAGGAAUUGACGGGGGCCCGCACAAGCGGUGGAGCAUGUGGUUUAAUUCGAGGCAACGCGAAGAACCUUACCAGGUCUUGACAUCCCUCUGACCGCUCUAGAGAUAGAGUUUUCCUUCGGGACAGAGGUGACAGGUGGUGCAUGGUUGUCGUCAGCUCGUGUCGUGAGAUGUUGGGUUAAGUCCCGCAACGAGCGCAACCCCUAUUGUUAGUUGCCAUCAUUGAGUUGGGCACUCUAGCGAGACUGCCGGUAAUAAACCGGAGGAAGGUGGGGAUGACGUCAAAUCAUCAUGCCCCUUAUGACCUGGGCUACACACGUGCUACAAUGGCUGGUACAACGAGUCGCAAGCCGGUGACGGCAAGCUAAUCUCUGAAAGCCAGUCUCAGUUCGGAUUGUAGGCUGCAACUCGCCUACAUGAAGUCGGAAUCGCUAGUAAUCGCGGAUCAGCACGCCGCGGUGAAUACGUUCCCGGGCCU